CCACUUGGCAAGGUACCGCUCUGGCAGAAUCACAAACCUGGUGAAAGCAAGGGAAACGAGGCCUUGGGACUGAGGCUGUUGAUUGUAAGACAACUAAGGAUAUCUUGAACCAAGAAGAACUCAAGGAAGCAAAUGGAGUUGUUACCUUUGAGGGGCCAGAGUGUCAUGGAUUCACACUACCAACUUGUCCUGGUGACUUAUGUGGGUGAAACAGAUCAAGAGAACUGAGGCCACUUUUACAAGGGCACUGAUCCCAUUCAUGAGGGCUCCAUUAAUGUCACCUAAUCACCCCAACUCCCCACCCCAUACCGUACCAUCAUUUUGGGGGGUCAGGAUUUCAACAUAUGAAGCUCUUUUAUCAUCUCUUUGUAGAAUACUGGUUUUAUUAUGUUAUAUACCAUAUCUUAAAUAGAGAACUAGCAAUAUAUCUCAAACAUUCCUCUGACAUAGUCACUUUUUUAAAAACUAUGGGAUGUCUAAGAAUGCAUAAAAUUUGUGGUUUUUACACACUUGU